UACGGGGGGGGCAAGCGUUGUUCGGAAUUACUGGGCGUAAAGGGUUUGUAGGUGGCUUGUUAAGUCAGACGUGAAAUCCCUCAGCUUAACUGGGGAACUGCGUCUGAUACUGGCGAGCUUGAGUGCAGGAGAGGAACGCGGAAUUCCAGGUGUAGCGGUGAAAUGCGUAGAUAUCUGGAGGAACACCGGUGGCGAAGGCGGCAUCCUGGACCGGCAUUGACGCUGAUGAGCGAAAGCCAGGGGAGCAAAGCGGG
rnacentral:rRNA from 1 species